GUCUUGAUGGCUGAGUGGUGUAAGGCAUUGUGUUCAGACUACAGUCUCCCCUGGAGCUGUUGGUUCAAGACCCUCUUCUGACA